ensembl:snoRNA
ACCCUUUUGUAGUUCCUGAGUGUGAUGAUGGGAUAGUCAUAGUCAUGCUCACAUGUGAGAUGCGUCUUCUUCAAAUCUUUUUAUGAUGUCAGCACAUUACCUAUCUGCUG